rnacentral:rRNA from 1 species
GACGAACGCUGGCGGCGUGCUUAACACAUGCAAGUCGAGCGGGUACAGCAAUGUAUCAGCGGCGGACGGGUGAGUAACGCGUGAGUAACCUGCCUUUACCAGCGGGAUAACACUUAGAAAUAGGUGCUAAUACCGCAUAAGACCACGAGGUCGCAUGACAAAGUGGUAAAAGGUCAGCCGGGUAAAGAUGGACUCGCGUCCCAUUAGCUAGUUGGUAGGGUAACGGCCUACCAAGGCGACGAUGGGUAGCCGACCUGAGAGGGUGAUCGGCCACAUUGGAACUGAGAAACGGUCCAA